GUGACCUCAAAUCAGGUAGGACUACCCGCUGAACUUAAGCAUAUCAAUAAGCGGAGGAAAAGAAACUAACAAGGAUUCCCCUAGUAACUGCGAGUGAAGCGGGAAAAGCUCAAAUUUAAAAUCUGGCGGUCUUUUGGCUGUCCGAGUUGUAAUCUAGAGAAGUGUUAUCCGCGCUGGACCGUGUACAAGUCUCCUGGAAUGGAGCAUCAUAGAGGGUGAGAAUCCCGUCUUUGACAUGGACUGCCAGGGCUUUUGUGAUGCGCUCUCAAAGAGUCGAGUUGUUUGGGAAUGCAGCUCAAAAUGGGUGGUAAAUUCCAUCUAAAGCUAAAUAUUGGCGAGAGACCGAUAGCGAACAAGUACCGUGAGGGAAAGAUGAAAAGAACUUUGGAAAGAGAGUUAAACAGUACGUGAAAUUGCUGAAAGGGAAACGCUUGAAGUCAGUCGCGUUGUCCAGGGAUCAACCUUGCUUUUGCUUGGUGCACUUCCUGGUUUGACGGGUCAGCAUCAAUUUUGACUAUUGGAAAAAGGUCAAGGGAAUGUGGCAUCUUUGGAUGUGUUUAUAGCCCUUGGUUGCAUACAAUGGUUUGGGAUUGAGGAACUCAGCACGCCGCAAGGCCGGGUGUUACACCACGUACGUGCU
rnacentral:rRNA from 1 species